UACAACGGGGUGCGACACGGUGACGUGGGGCGGAUCCCUGAAAACCGGUCUCAGUUCGGAUCGCAGUCUGCAACUCGACUGCGUGAAGGUGGAGUCGCUAGUAAUCGCGGAUCAGCAACGCCGCGGUGAAUGCGUUCCCGGGCCUUGUACACACCGCCCGUCAAGUCAUGAAAGUGGGCAGCACCCGAAGACGGUGGCCUAACCCUUGUGGGGGGAGCCGUCUAAGGUGAGGCUCGUGAUUGGGACUAAGUCGUAACAAGGUAAC
rnacentral:rRNA from 1 species